rnacentral:rRNA from 1 species
GAUGAACGCUAGCGGCAGGCUUAACACAUGCAAGUCGAGGGGUAUUGGUUUUCGGACCAAGAGACCGGCGCACGGGUGCGUAACGCGUAUGCAAUCUACCUUUUGCAGAGGGAUAGCCCCAGAGAAAUUUGGAUUAAUACCUCAUAGUAUAGUACUUUGGCAUCAAGGAACUAUUAAAGUCACAACGGCAAAGAUGAGCAUGCGUCCCAUUAGCUAGUUGGUAAGGUAACGGCUUACCAAGGCUACGAUGGGUAGGGGUCCUGAGAGGGAGAUCCCCCACACUGGUACUGAGACACGGACCAGACUCCUACGGGAGGCAGCAGUGAGGAAUAUUGGACAAUGGGCGCAAGCCUGAUCCAGCCAUGCCGCGUGCAGGAUGACGGUCCUAUGGAUUGUAAACUGCUUUAUACA